CUGCUGCCUAUCUUUUGAAAUUCCAGUUCAGCUCCUGGGGUAACUAGAACAAAGAGGGCUNNUUAUCCUCCUAACCUGCAACAUUCCAGACAGAGGCCCUCUAAGCUCUUAGGAGCCUGANUGUGGUGAUCGGGUCUCUUAAAUUCCAGGGUGGAAGCAGGAGGAUCAGGAGUUCAAGGCCAGCCUUGGUUACACAGCCACGCCCACUGUUGGGAGUGUCCUUCUCUUUCCUAGCCGACUUCGCUAUUACUUUCCCACAUGUGCCUGGUGCAAGUCUUNCCACACAACACAGGAAUCCGUGGAGCUCAGCNGUACCNUCAGACUCUGGNCUACAACUCUGACAGGAUUUGGGGUCAACUUACCAUCCCUUAAAAAUCCAUUCUCCCAAGAAGAAGGGACAGAAAGAAAGACCACUUUGUAAGAAAGGCUUUGGUAUCCCAUGAACGAGCCAGCCAAACACCGAUUGGGGUGCACCAGGACUCCAGAGCCAGAUAUACGGCUCAGAAAAGGGCACCAACUUGAUGAGACAAGGGGAAGUAGUAAUGAUGACUACCAAGGAGAUUUGGAGCCCAGCUUAGAGACACCUGUUUGUUCUUCCUAUUAUGAAAAUAGGCUUGAAGAGGGUGCCGCCAGUUUCCUAGAAGAGGAGUUACAAUUGUGAAUCACCAU